rnacentral:ncRNA from 16 species
CGCAUAGUUCAAUGGAUAGAAUGCCUGACUACGGAUCAGGUGGUUCCAGGUUCGACUCUUGGUGUG